GGUCAAGGUUACAAAGGAAAGGUGAUAAGCCACGAUCAAGAACAACUUCAUUGAGAACAACAAAUUGAUUGGAUUGGUCAACAAUCGUUUCAAUUUCAGUUUCCUGUUUACGAACACAACAUGACAAUCGACUUCUCAAGAUAAUCAAUUUCAUCUAAUCUCAUCUCAUCCUCUCAUCAAGUUUUUGUUUCUAAUUUCAUUACCUGGAAAAGCGAGGAUGCAUAUAAAAGUGUCCCAUCACCUCCCAAACAGAUGACCAGGUCAACCUCUUGGUCCAAACCACGGCCAUUUCGAUCAACCUCAAAGGUUAUCAGUUUAUCUCGAAACUGUUUAAACAAUGGUUCACCUCGAUUUCGUAUAUCUUUAAGUAAAUUGUGUUCAACCAGAACAACCAUUUGCUUAUCCUGAUUUCCAAUGGAAAAUCAUCAAGACAAAUUGAUUGUUCAUUUUACGAGAAUAAAAUGAACAGAAAGACAAAAAUGAAAUGACAAAUUUUACACAAUCAGAAUCAAAAAAAACAUCACAAGGAAGUUUCGAAGAUGAAUAAUAUUGAGAAAAACUUACCACUAAAAGCCAUUGAGUUAACUGAAUGAAACUCGGUAAAAUACUGGAAUCGUGAAUCUUAUGGAUAACAAGAACAUUU